CGGUAGGGUCAGCGACUGGGGUGAAGUCGUAACAAGGUAGCCGUAGGGGAACCUGCGGCUGGAUCACCUCCUUU
rnacentral:rRNA from 1 species